GACGAACGCUGGCGGCGUGCUUAACACAUGCAAGUCGAGCGGUAAGGCCCUUUCGGGGGUACACGAGCGGCGAACGGGUGAGUAACACGUGGGUGACCUGCCCUCAGCUCUGGGAUAAGCCUGGGAAACUGGGUCUAAUACUGGAUAUGACUCCACGGUGCAUGUCGUGGGGUGGAAAGCCUUGUGCGGCUGAGGAUGGGCCCGCGGCCUAUCAGCUUGUUGGUGGGGUGANGGCCUACCAAGGCGACGACGGGUAGCCGGCCUGAGAGGGCGACCGGCCACACUGGGACUGAGACACGGCCCAGACUCCUACGGGGGA
rnacentral:rRNA from 1 species